rnacentral:rRNA from 1 species
GAGUUUGAUCCUGGCUCAGAUUGAACGCUGGCGGAAUGCUUUACACAUGCAAGUCGAACGGCAGCACGGGGGCAACCCUGGUGGCGAGUGGCGAACGGGUGAGUAAUACAUCGGAACGUGCCCAGUCGUGGGGGAUAACGUAGCGAAAGCUACGCUAAUACCGCAUACGAUCUCUGGAUGAAAGCGGGGGACCGCAAGGCCUCGCGCGAUUGGAGCGGCCGAUGGCAGAUUAGGUAGUUGGUGGGGUAAAGGCUCACCAAGCCGACGAUCUGUAGCUGGUCUGAGAGGACGACCAGCCACACUGGGACUGAGACACGGCCCAGACUCCUACGGGAGGCAGCAGUGGGGAAUUUUGGACAAUGGGCGCAAGCCUGAUCCAGCCAUUCCGCGUGCAGGAUGAAGGCCCUCGGGUUGUAAACUGCUUUUGUACGGAACGAAAAGGCUUUCUCUAAUACAGAGAGCUCAUGACGGUACCGUAAGAAUAAGCACCGGCUAACUACGUGCCAGCAGCCGCGGUAAUACGUAGGGUGCAAGCGUUAAUCGGAAUUACUGGGCGUAAAGCGUGCGCAGGCGGUGAUGUAAGACAGGUGUGAAAUCCCCGGGCUUAACCUGGGAACUGCAUUUGUGACUGCAUUGCUGGAGUGCGGCAGAGGGGGAUGGAAUUCCGCG